rnacentral:rRNA from 1 species
CAGCCGCCGCGGUAAUUCGUAGGGUGCAAGCGUUAAUCGGAAUUACUGGGCGUAAAGCGUGCGCAGGCGGUUAUGCAAGACAGAUGUGAAANCCCGGGGCCCAACCCCGGAACUGCACCCGAUACUGCCCGGCUGGAGUCCCGGAGAGGAUGGCGGAAUUUCCGGUGUAGAGGUGAAAUUCGUAGAUAUCGGAAGGAACACCAGUGGCGAAGGCGGCCAUCUGGACGGUGACUGACGCUGAGACGCGAAAGCGUGGGGAGCAAACAGGAUUAGAUACCCUGGUAGUCCACGCUGUAAACGUUGGGUGCUAGACGUCGGGGGUAUUGACCCCUCCGGUGUCGAAGCUAACGCAUUAAGCACCCCGCCUGGGGAGUACGGCCGCAAGGCNUAAAACUCAAAGGAAUUGACGG